rnacentral:rRNA from 1 species
AGUGAACGCUGGCGGUAGGCCUAACACAUGCAAGUCGAACGGCAGCACAGUAAGAGCUUGCUCUUACGGGUGGCGAGUGGCGGACGGGUGAGGAAUACAUCGGAAUCUACUUUUUCGUGGGGGAUAACGUAGGGAAACUUACGCUAAUACCGCAUACGACCUACGGGUGAAAGCAGGGGAUCUUCGGACCUUGCGCGAUUGAAUGAGCCGAUGUCGGAUUAGCUAGUUGGCGGGGUAAAGGCCCACCAAGGCGACGAUCCGUAGCUGGUCUGAGAGGAUGAUCAGCCACACUGGAACUGAGACACGGUCCAGACUCCUACGGGAGGCAGCAGUGGGGAAUAUUGGACAAUGGGCGCAAGCCUGAUCCAGCCAGACCGCGUGGGUGAAGAAGGCCUUCGGUUUGUAAAGCCCUUUUGUUGGGAAAGAAAAGCAGCAGGUUAAUACCCCGCUGUUCUGACGGUACCCAAAGAAUAAGCACCGGCUAACUUCGUG